rnacentral:rRNA from 1 species
UACAGGGGGGGCGAGCGUUGUUCGGAAUUACUGGGCGUAAAGGGUUCGUAGGUGGCCGACUAAGUCAGACGUGAAAUCCCUCAGCUUAACUGGGGAACUGCGUCUGAUACUGGCCGGCUUGAGUGCGGGAGAGGAACGCGGAAUUCCAGGUGUAGCGGUGAAAUGCGUAGAUAUCUGGAGGAACACCGGUGGCGAAGGCGGCGUUCUGGACUGCAACUGACACUGAGGAACGAAAGCCAGGGGAGCAAACGGG